GACGAACGCUGGCGGCGUGCUUAACACAUGCAAGUCGAGCGAUUCUCUUCGGAGAAGAGCGGCGGACGGGUGAGUAACGCGUGGGUAACCUGCCCUGUACACACGGAUAACAUACCGAAAGGUAUGCUAAUACGAGAUAAUAUACUUUUAUCGCAUGGUAGAAGUACCAAAGCUCUUGCGGUACAGGAUGGACCCGCGUCUGAUUAGCUCGUUGGUAAGGUAACGGCUUACCAAGGCGACGAUCAGUAGCCGACCUGAGAGGGUGAUCGGCCACAUUGGAACUGAGACACGGUCCAAACUCCUACGGGAGGCAGCAGUGGGGAAUAUUGCACAAUGGGCGAAAGCCUGAUGCAGCAACGCCGCGUGAGCGAUGAAGGCCUUCGGGUCGUAAAGCUCUGUCCUCAAGGAAGAUAAUGACGGUACUUGAGGAGGAAGCCCCGGCUAACUACGUGCCAGCAGCCGCAGUAACAC
rnacentral:rRNA from 1 species